rnacentral:rRNA from 1 species
AUUGAACGCUGGCGGCAGGCCUAACACAUGCAAGUCGAGCGAGCGGCGGAUGGGUGAGUAAUGUAUGGGGACUGCCCGAUAGAGGGGGAUAACUACUGGAAACGGUGGCUAAUACCGCAUACUAUCGGAUAACCCAUAUGGGAUUAGCUAGUAGGGGGGGUAAAGGCUCACCAAGGCGACGAUGCCUAGCUGGUCUGAGAGGAUGAUCAGACACACUGGGACUGAGACACGGCCCAGACUCCUACGGAGGCAGCAGUGGGGAAUAUUGCGCAAUGGGCGCAAGCCUGAUGGAGCCAUGCCGCGUGUAUGAAGAAGGCCUUCGGGUUGUAAAGUACUUUCAGCGGGGAAGCGUUACCCGACGAAGAAGCAACGGCUAACUCCGUGCCAGCAGCCGCGGUAAUAC